rnacentral:rRNA from 1 species
AACGACUCUCGGCAACGGAUAUCUUGGCUCUCGCAUCGAUGAAGAACGUAGCGAAAUGCGAUACUUGGUGUGAAUUGCAGAAUCCCGUGAACCAUCGAGUCUUUGAACGCAAGUUGCGCCCGAAGCCUUCCGGCCGAGGGNACGUCUGCCUGGGCGUCACGC